UUGUGCAUUAGGGUUCGUAUUGCGUACUAUUUAUUGUUAUCUGUAUAUUUAGGAAGUUCACUUAGGGGAGAGCGGGGUUAUGUGAGACAUCGGGUAAUGUGAGACACCCCCUGUAUCUAGGCAACGGAACACAUUUGUGGUCAUGUGACCAUUAUGUUUUCAAGCCCCUCCCAUUCCCCCAUUGCCAUGAAGGACAAGUUGGUGCUGGUGCUGUGAAAAGCCAUCAUGCCAAGGAACUACACCAGGAAGACAACCUGGGGCCAAACACCCCUCGCAGAGAUGGAGAGUGCAGCCGCUGAGGUCAUGCAAGGAAAGAAGUCCUUAAGAAAAGCUGGAAGGGAUAGAAAUAUUGACAAGUCAACCCUCUAAAGAUUCAUACCAAAAAAGGCACACAUUCCCUCCACACAUGAUUUUUAAUGUGGAUGUAACAGGCGUCUUUACUGUACAAAAGCCACGGCAGGUUGUGACAGAGAAAGGAAAAAAGCAAGUUGGUUCUAUCACAUCGGCUGAGAGAGGAGAACUGGUGACUGUGGUGUGUGCAGUGAAUGCUGCUGGGAAUGCCAUACCUCCCAUGU